UGGGGAAUCUUGCACAAUGGGCGAAAGCCUGAUGCAGCAACGCCGCGUGCGGGAAGAAGGCCCUCGGGUUGUAAACCGCUUUCAGAAGGAACGAAACUGACGGUACUUUCAGAAGAAGGUGCGGCCAACUACGUGCCAGCAGCCGCGGUGACACGUAGGCACCAAGCGUUGUCCGGAUUUAUUGGGCGUAAAGAGCUCGUAGGCGGUUCAGUAAGUCGGGUGUGAAAACUUUGGGCUUAACCCAAAGCGUGCAUCCGAUACUGCUGUGACUUGAGUACGGUAGGGGAGCGGGGAAUUCCUAGUGUAGCGGUGAAAUGCGUAGAUAUAGGAAGGAACACCAGUGGCGAAGGCGACCACCUGGACUGAUACUGACACUGAGUGCGAAAGCGUGGGGAGCAAACAGGAUUAGAUACCCACGUAGUCCCUGAGCGG
rnacentral:rRNA from 1 species